AUGGGUGUUUGUGAAUCGGGUUUGGCAGAAGGGAGGGUGAUGGGCAGAGUUGUAUUUGUUCUGUUUGGAAGAGGAAUUGAAGGGCGGAAGAUGGAUGUUGCACGAUGGGAGUAUGCUUCUGGAGAAUCGAAUGAAGAUGGAAGUUGGAAUGUUACUGAGUUGCCUCUUGAACCAAAGAAAAAGGAUUUAUGGUUUCAUUUUGGGCAAGUUUUUGGACAGCAAAGAUAG